CCUACGGGUGGCAGCAGUGAGGAAUAUUGGUCAAUGGGCGCGAGCCUGAACCAGCCAAGUCGCGUGAGGGAAGACGGUCCUAUGGAUUGUAAACCUCUUUUGUCGGGGGCCAAAAGACGCCACGCGUGGCGUUCCGAGAGUACCCGAAGAAAAAGCAUCGGCUAACCCCGUGCCAGCAGCCGCGGUAAUACGGAGGAUGCGAGGGUUCUCCGGUUUUAUUGGGUUAAAGGGGGGCGCCGUCGGAAGUUCAAGUCAGUGGUAAAUUUGAGAGGCAAAAGCGGUUAGAGCCGUUGAAACUGGUUUUCUGGAGUGAGUGAGCAGUAUGCGGAAUGCGUGGUGUAGCGGUGAAAUGCAGAGAUAUCACGCAGAACACCGAUUGCGAAGGCAGCAUACCGGCGCUCAACUGACGCUCAUGCACGAAAGUGUGGGUAUCGAACAGGAUUAGAUACCCUUGUAGUC
rnacentral:rRNA from 1 species